AAGGGCACACGGUGGAUGCCUUGGCAUCAGGAGCCGAUGAAGGACGUGUGAAUCUGCGAUAAGCCUCGGGGAGCCGAUAACUGGGCGUGGAUCCGAGGAUUUCCGAAUGGGGAAACCUCGCUCAUCGUUGUGGUGGGUGACCGCUGGUUGAAUGUAU
rnacentral:sRNA from 1 species